UACGAAGGGUGCAAGCGUUACUCGGAAUUACUGGGCGUAAAGCGUGCGUAGGUGGUGCGUUAAGUCUGUCGUGAAAGCCCCGGGCUCAACCUGGGAAUGGCGAUGGAUACUGGCUCGCUAGAGUGCGGUAGAGGGUGGUGGAAUUCCCGGUGUAGCAGUGAAAUGCGUAGAGAUCGGGAGGAACAUCAGUUGCGAAGGCGGCCUCCUGGACCAGAACUGACACUGAGGCACGAAAGCGUGGGGAGCAAACAGG
rnacentral:rRNA from 1 species